CCCAGAGGUAUUGAUUGGUGAAUGUUUUAAUGUGUGCUUUGCACACGCCAUCACUUACACCGACCUGCGCAGAUGCGCAGGUUUUUUUU
rnacentral:sRNA from 1 species